rnacentral:rRNA from 2 species
ACGCGUCUUGGUUAUUGAUGUUAAGUGCUUGCAUUUAACUGAUUUAACAUUGAGACGAGUGGCGAACUGGUGAGUAACACGUGGGUAACCUGCCCUUGAAGUAGGGGAUAACACUUGGAAACAGGUGCUAAUACCGUAUAACAACCAAAACCACCUGGUUUUGGUUUAAAAGAUGGCUUCGGCUAUCACUUUAGGAUGGACCCGCGGCGUAUUAGCUUGUUGGUAAGGUAACGGCCUACCAAGGCAAUGAUACGUAGCCGACCUGAGAGGGUAAUCGGCCACAUUGGGACUGAGACACGGCCCAAACUCCUACGGGAGGCAGCAGUAGGGAAUCUUCCACAAUGGACGAAAGUCUGAUGGAGCAACGCCGCGUGAGUGAUGAAGGGUUUCGGCUCGUAAAACUCUGUUGUUGGAGAAGAACAGGUGUGAGAGUAACUGUUCACAUCUUGACGGUAUCCAACCAGAAAGCCACGGCUAACUACGUGCCAGCAGCCGCGGUAAUACGUAGGUGGCAAGCGUUGUCCGGAUUUAUUGGGCGUAAAGCGAGCGCAGGCGGUUUCUUAGGUCUGAUGUGAAAGCCUUCGGCUUAACCGGAGAAGUGCAUCGGAAACCAGGAGACUUGAGUGCAGAAGAGGACAGUGGAACUCCAUGUGUAGCGGUGAAAUGCGUAGAUAUAUGGAAGAACACCAGUGGCGAAGGCGGCUGUCUGGUCUGUAACUGACGCUGAGGCUCGAAAGCAUGGGUAGCGAACAGGAUUAGAUACCCUGGUAGUCCAUGCCGUAAACGAUGAGUGCUAAGUGUUGGAGGGUUUCCGCCCUUCAGUGCUGCAGCUAACGCAUUAAGCACUCCGCCUGGGGAGUACGACCGCAAGGUUGAAACUCAAAGGAAUUGACGGGGGCCCGCACAAGCGGUGGAGCAUGUGGUUUAAUUCGAUGCUACGCGAAGAACCUUACCAGGUCUUGACAUCUUCUGCCAACCUAAGAGAUUAGGCGUUCCCUUCGGGGACAGAAUGACAGGUGGUGCAUGGUUGUCGUCAGCUCGUGUCCUGAGAUG